GGUUCCUUCGUCUAAUGGUAGGACAUUACCUUUUCACGGUAAGAAUAUGAGUUCAAUUCUCAUAGGAAUCA